UACGUAGGGGGCAAGCGUUGUCCGGAUUUACUGGGUUUAAAGGGCGCGCAGGCGGAUAUGUAAGUCAGUGGUGAAAUCUUCGAGCUUAACUCGGAAACUGCCAUUGAUACUAUUUAUCUUGAAUACUUUGGAGGUAAGCGGAAUAUGUCAUGUAGCGGUGAAAUGCUUAGAUAUGACAUAGAACACCAAUUGCGAAGGCAGCUUACUACACAGUUAUUGACACUGAGGCACGAAAGCGUGGGGAUCAAACAGG
rnacentral:rRNA from 1 species